CACAAAUCACCGCUGUCCUAGCAAGCAGCCAACACAGGAUGCGGACUCUGUCUUUGCCAGCUCACAUCAAUGUGCUGUUGGCCACAGUGGGAAGAUCAGUUACAUGUUUUAAGUACAGCUCCUGGAGUACAACAGACAUGCCAACUAGUCUCACACCGCCCUAUGGAAAGGUGUGGACAUUCUCCCUUCUUUGCCCGCAUCUUCUACCCUGGUUAAUUUCCCGUCAGCCCUCUGUGAAAUCAUCAUCCUCAUAAUCCAGUC